rnacentral:rRNA from 1 species
CGCGAAUGGCUCAUUACAACAGCUAUAAUUUACUUGAUCUUGACUUCCUACUUGGAUGACUGUGGUAAUUCUAGAGCUAAUACAUGCACCAAAGCUCCGACCUUACGGGAAGAGCGCAUUUAUUCGAACAAAACCAAGCGGCUUCGGCCGUCCGCAGUUGACUCAGAAUAACUAAGCUGAUCGCAUGGUCUUGAACCGGCGACGUGUCUUUCAAGUAUCUGCCGUAUCAACUUUCGAUGGUAGUGUAUCUGACUACCAUGGUGAUCACGCGUAACGGAGAAUAAGGGUUCGGCUCCGGAGAGUUCGCCUGAGAAAUCGCGAACACAUCUAAGGAAGGCAGCAGGCGCGAAAAUUACCCACUCUCAGCACGAGGAGGUAGUGACGAAAAAUAACGAGACCGUUCUCUUAUGAGGCCGGUCAUCGGAAUGGGUACAAUUUAAACCCUUUAACGAGUAUCUAUGAGAGGGCAAGUCUGGUGCCAGCAGCCGCGGUAAUUCCAGCU